CUACGACCAGUUAACGGUUGCAGUCAAUGGUUAACGGCUGUAAGCUACUGCUGGCAGGCAGUACACCACACGAUGCACACUGCCCCGAAAUUUGUGGCACGUUUCUUAGGUGCCUCAAUCUAUAUGGAGGUGAGCAGCAGCUAAGCAAGAGUAGGAUCAAUCGUUAAUGGGUGUCAGAUCGGAUGAAAAUUAUUUAUGUGUUCGGUGCUCGCUGUUGACUGAUAUUUAGUUCACUUUUCUUUCUUUCAGUGUACUUGUGUCCAAGCGACAAUUGCAGUUUUAUGCCGGUGGACAUCAGAAACGUGAUCAUAGCCCCUCCAUUUAGACGAAAAUUAAAUCAAAU
rnacentral:lncRNA from 1 species